rnacentral:rRNA from 1 species
GAUGAACGCUGGCGGCGUGCCUAAUACAUGCAAGUCGAGCGAACAGAUGAGGAGCUUGCUCCUCUGACAUUAGCGGCGGACGGGUGAGUAACACGUGGAUAACCUACCUAUUAGCCUGGGAUAACUUCGGGAAACCGGAGCUAAUACCGGAUAAUAUAUUGAACCGCAUGGUUCAAUAGUGAAAGACGCUUUUGCUGCCACUUAUAGAUGGCUCCGCGCCUCAUUGGCUAGUUGGUAAGGUAACGGCUUACCAAGGCAACGAUCAGUAGCCGACCGGAAGGGGUGACCGGCACACCGGGACUUAGGACACGGUCCGACCUCCUACGGAAGGAGGCAGAAGGGAAUCUUGGGCAAGGGGCGAAAGCCUGACGGAGCAACGCGGCGUGAGGGAUGAAGGUCUUCGGAUCGUAAAACUCUGUUAUUGUGGAGGAACAAUUGUGUAGGUAACUAUGCACAUCGUGACGGUACCUAAUCAGAAAGCCACGGCUAACUACGUG